GAAGCCAGAGCGAUUCUUGAAGGA
rnacentral:siRNA from 1 species